UACAGAGAUGGCAAGCGUUGUUCGGAAUCACUGGGCUUAAAGCGCGUGUAGGCGGAGCGAAAGGCGCCUUGUGAAAGCCCCCGGCUCAACCGGGGAACUGCUUGGCGAACCGGCGCUCUUGAGGCAGGUAGAGGUCACUGGAACCAUAGGUGGAGCGGUGAAAUGCGUAGAGAUCUAUGGGAACGCCGGUGGCGAAAGCGAGUGACUGGGCCUGAUCUGACGCUGAGACGCGAAAGCGUGGGUAGCAAACAGG
rnacentral:rRNA from 1 species